AUGCAUGUCUAAGUACAAGCCCUAGCACGGUGAAACCGCGAAUGGCUCAUUAAAUCAGUUAUGGUUCCUUAGAUCGUACCUCAACUACUUGGAUAACUGUAGUAAUUCUAGAGCUAAUACAUGCUUCAAAGCUCCGACCUCUCGCUAGGGACGAGCGCUUUUAUUAGACCAAAACCAGUCGGGUGGCUUCGGCCCCUGUCAACACUUUGGUGACUCUGGAUAACUUUGUGCUGAUCGCACGGCCUCUGUGCCGGCGACGAAUCUUUCAAAUGUCUGCCCUAUCAAGUUUCGACGGUUGGUGACUUGCCAACCGUGCUGAUAACGGGUAGCGGGGAAUCAGGGUUCGAUUCCGGAGAGGGAGCAUGAGAAACGGCUACCACU
rnacentral:rRNA from 2 species